AGUCUACCGCCCCCUCUUAAGGGGCUUAGUACAAGAUCUCAAAUCAGGUUCCCCCUCUUUCGUCAAUUAGUUGAUCGAGAAACCUCUGCCCAAUAGAGCAACGCCAAGAGUGGAUCAGGCCAUAUGCUUGAGUGGUUUAGCCCGCGAAGCCGGUCACCGGUAGGCCUAAGAUCCUCUUUUUGACAGAAGAGCCGAAAACCUGAUUAAGCUGUGCCGAAAUGAUCUUGCCGUGCUGCUAUUACCCUAAACAAAGUAGAGUCAAUGUGAAAGAAAGGUA
rnacentral:lncRNA from 1 species